UACGAAGGGGCUAGCGUUGCUCGGAAUCACUGGGCGUAAAGCGCACGUAGGCGGGUCCUUAAGUCAGGGGUGAAAUCCUGGAGCUCAACUCCAGAACUGCCUUUGAUACUGAGGAUCUCGAGUUCGGGAGAGGUGAGUGGAACUGCGAGUGUAGAGGUGAAAUUCGUAGAUAUUCGCAAGAACACCAGUGGCGAAGGCGGCUCACUGGCCCGAUACUGACGCUGAGGUGCGAAAGCGUGGGGAGCAAACAGG
rnacentral:rRNA from 1 species